ACAGGUGUGAGCCACUGCGCCUGGCCUCGGUGGUGGUUUUUGCAGUCUUUUGUGAUAGUUUUUGUUAUCAGGGAUUUGGGCAUGGGAACCCUCUUUCCAUGGCUUUCCCUGGCUCUAUGUGUCAGGGCUUUUUUUUAAACACAAGGAAAUCCAUUUUGCUUCUGACAACUUUCACGGUGCCUUAUCAUUAACAUAAGUCUCUGUGAGACCCUUUGGGUAGGAGGCUCUGAAAAGGAGCGAGAGAUGGGGAGAGGCUACCGCAGUUGGGGUGAGAUCGAGGUUUGGGUUAGGGCAAGGCAAGGAGGGCUGGACAGGGGACUCCAGAAAUACACAGGAGCUAAGUGAGCAGGGCUGGGGACUGGCUGGCUGAGGGUUGAGAGGUGCUGAAGGUGAGAAGGCUCUAGACUGGAUGGCAAAGCAGACAGAAGAGAGGGUGUUGCUGAGGAUCAGAUCUGGGGGACGAUGGAGGAUGGCGUGCUGGUCCUGCUGUGGUGCCCAUGGGACAUCCGGGUGCCUUCGCUCCAGAGGACCAGGCUGGUCCUGAACAAUGGGAGGCAGUGAGGCUAGAGUGUGGAUUUUUUGUGAACUUAUUGACCUGUGUGUGCUCACUGGCACCUUGGGAACAGGUGAGCUGCUUCUCCACGCAGCAGGAAGGAAGAGGGUGUCAAGGAGGUGGCAGAUCCCAACACUCCACAGAAUGGCAGGGACAUUACGGAAAGAAGGAGGCUGUGAGCCUGUCCCCACCCUUCCCCUGGCCCUCUGAGGGUCUUGUGUGGCCAUCGGUCUGGAGUGGACUCCUGGCUUCUUGUGAGGGUGGUGCUGGCCCAGGCACCCUGGAGGCAGCUGGUGUCCUCCUGGAUGAGGACCACAGCUUUUGGAGAGCUGUCGUUGUCUGUCCAGGUGGGAGGAGCCACAGCCAGGGCAGGGUUUGAAACACCUGCCGACUUCAGCCUGUCCUGUAAGCUCACGAUGAUGUGCCCACCCCGAUCCAGUUUAAUAUCCCCUCAAAAGCACUCCUCAGGAUCCCAGGUGCUCAGCUGUGGACAUCAGUGAGCUCCCAGACAGAGCACACAGGGAGUGGGUGGACCCUGGGUCACCGUCGUGUAGCCAGCUUUGCUCAGAAGACACGAGGAUGGAGGAGAAGGCCGCAGAGGCAGACACGGGGAGAGGGCUGAGACCCGGAGUGGGCUGGGGGCAGGCCCCGGGCAGGGGAAGCAUGGAGGUGGGGAGGGGAGUGGGUGGAGCUUAGGCAGACUGGCGAAUUUGGGUGGAGGUCUGCGGCAGAAAAGCCCCUCAGCCUCUGAGAUGCAGGCACCUUUGCACGUGGGGACGUGGGGACGUGGGGACAUGUGGGGCUCUCGCUGUUCGUCUCCCAGGCUGUGAAGGACAGUGGAAAUCUGGGCCUGCAGGGAGCUUUAGUGGAAGGACAGAGGCUUCAUGAGAAAUAAGUGCAGAUUUAUGAUCAGAUGGGGUUAACAGCUAGAAAGCAGGGCGAGGGGUAGAGAUGGAGUGAGUGGGGUGCUGUCUGGAGGCCUGGUGGGGGAAGCCCUCCAAGCCCUGCACUAAGGGAGGGGUGGCCCUACAGAGUCCAGGGAAAUUCCAGACAAGGCCAAGUCCUCAAGGGGCCACCCAGGAGGGGUCCAGUGGUGGCUCCUGUUUCUCUGAUCAAGGGGAGGCAGGGGGAUGGGAGGAACUUGGCAGCAAGGGGACUGGGGAAAGGUGGGUCCCUAAGGGUACCGGGAGAGGGGCUGACCAAGGGACUGUCCCAGGGAGGAGGACAGCUGGACACAAGGCCUGGGAUCCAGGCUCCCCGAGGCCACUCUUCACUUCAGGGAGUUUCUGACCUUCUGGACCCAGUUGCCAGCAGGGGCAGGUGCUCUGUGCCGAGCUGGGGGGUGAGUACAGAGCUGAGUGUGGCCGGGACGGCCUGGGGCAGUGGCGGACACUGCACACAAACCCAGGCCAUGUCUGCUAACGGCAGCUGCUGUGGCUUCUUCUUACUGUGUCUAUGCUGCAUUAAAACAGUAAAAAACCCAGGGGAACCCACUCUAAUGAUGUAUUCUAUUAGACCUUCUGUUUAAAAUUGUUUCUCAAUCUAUGAUCACUAUAAAAUUGAGAAUGCGAUACUGUGCUUUCCUUUGUGUCCUGAGUCUUUGGCAUAUGGUGUGCUUUUGACACUGGUAGCCUCUCUGUGAUGGCUCCCUCAUCUCGUGUGCCUGGUGGCCUCCUGUGGCCAGUGGCUGCCGUGUGGGAUGUGCAGGUCUGAGGGUGAGAUUGGGCUGGGCGAGGGGCAGUGCUGCUCGGUGUCUCCUGGGAGGGUCUGGUCCUGAUGAAGAGAGUCAGGGCCAGCUCCCUAGGGGAGGACGCUGUGUUCCAGCCUCCUCCUGGGCCAGCUAGCUAGGGGUCAUGUUUCCUGGAUCAAGCCCUCAUCUCUGGAGAGAUCUGCAGAGUUUGAGGGAGUCGCCUCAGCUUCCCCAGAGCCCACAGACACACAGGAGUCCCUUCCCACUGGGCUCUGGGCUCCUGAAUGAGGGUUCUGGCCUCAGGAAGAAAGUGGGUCUCCCUUCGCUCCUGUGUGGCGGAGAGAUGAGGGUUGUGGAGGUGGGUGAGGCUGGAGGGUAUGCAGCUUCUAGGGUGUCAGCUCCCCCCAAAUAAAGAAACCUGUAACACUUCCUGUAAGCUUCUCUGACUCCUGCAAUGCUGGGUAUAGGAAUGUUGGCUUUGACUGUCCAGGUAGGAGAACCAUGUUAAAAAUGGCCCUUUUUCUACCAAAAGGCAGGAACAGACCUGCUGUAAACCUGCUAGCUGUGGGAUGCCUGUGUCUCAUCUUAAGUGCCUGGCGUAUGUUUACUGGUGAGCCAUCUUUCUCCAGGUGGACCCUCCCGCAGCCCUUACUUCCCAGUAUUGCAGGAAUGCAGCCCAGCCCCACUUCAGGGGCAAGAAGGAGCUGAGAGCUGAGAAAUCAUAAUAAAACACCCCUCCCGGGAAGCACUCACAUGAAUCAUGGCUCAGGUGAGGAAACCAAGGCACAGAGACGUUAAGAAACUCUCUGUGGUCACUCAGCAAGUGACUAGCAGAGCCUGGAUGCAGCUGGACUUCUCUCACUGUGUGUGUCUGUAAAGAAUUCAGGCCAGGUGCGGUGGCUCACUCCUGUAAUCUCAGCACUUUGGGAG